rnacentral:rRNA from 1 species
UAAUACGGAGGGGGCUAGCGUUGUUCGGAAUUACUGGGCGUAAAGCGCGCGUAGGCGGAUCAAAAAGUUAGAUGUGAAAUCCCUAGGCUUAACUUAGGAACUGCAUUUAAAACUAGUGAUCUAGAAUUUGGUAGAGGAUAGUAGAAUUUCCAGUGUAGAGGUGAAAUUCGUAGAUAUUGGAAAGAAUACCAGUGGCGAAGGCGACUAUCUGGGCCAAAAUUGACGCUGAGGUGCGAAAGCGUGGGUAGCAAACAGGAUUAGAUACCCUGGUAGUCCGCGCAGUAAGCGAUGAGUGCUAGUCGCUGGGUCUUAUGAUUCGGUGUCUCAGCUAACGCAUUAAGCACUCCGCCUGGGAAGUACGGUCGCAAGAUUA